UGUGUGUGUGUAUGUGUGUGUGUGUGUGUGUGUGUGUGUGUGUGUGUAUGUGUGUGUGUUUGUGUGUGUGUGUGAAUGAAUAAAUGUACUCUUGACAUCUCUGUGAGAUUGAAGAGAGGGAGUUAUGACUAGACUGGAGGCCUGGCAUCAACCCCUACAACAGUGUCGACGUCUCUAAAGGCCUACAUCUAUCCUCUUUUAUCACGGGGGUUUGGUAUAAAACACACACACACCACACACACACACACACACACACACACAAAAUAUAGUGAUAAUUGAAUCAGUGGUACAUGAAAUCCGCGUACUUUGUAAGUGGAAUUAAUAGUAGAUUCAUUGACACCAAAGUCGCGAAAUCACAGUAGCGAAGCUUCCACAGUCACUAUUUUCUUGAUCAUUUCUACCUUUUUUCUGCAGAGAAUACGAGUUUGUGCCGUCUGUUUGGAUCGAGCGCCUUCGAAUAUGUUCCUUUUACUGAUCUCAGAUUGUUGGAUAUCAGCUCGUAAGUUCGUAUAAAGAAAUACGCAGUCUCACAGAAUGGUCAGAUAAACACAAGUUAUAGUCUAUGCAUUCUGGGAGCUGAGCAUUAUAGGGGUGGGCUCGUUUUAACGCACUUAUGCAGUACAAGCAGAAUUUUCGACUGAUCGUCAACCUAUUUUAUCAGAGAUCAAACCUUGAUAAAUGUAACAUGGUUCAGAAUUGAACAAACCGUUUUAUUCCGAAUCAGUGAUGAAUUAAUCAGAGAUAAACGAGAUUACAUGUAAUACAUUUGAGACAGCAAUAAAGUUUGUGUCAACAUUAUGCUCUAAAAAACUAUUGUUGCGGAAGGUAUUGUUUAAUUCAGCAGACAGAAUUAAAACUAUUUUAAUCGUCUAUGUUUAGAAUCAUUACAGAAACUAAUGUAUAUUAAACUAUUUGAUUUCAGGGAAAUAAUUUUGUUACAGUCAGUCAGUUUCUAUUUAUUACACAAAAGACGACGUUGCCGUUGUGUCUCAGUAUGCCCCAGUCGUUGCUGAAAAUUUUCAUUCCGGAAGCAGUUGAAAAAAUAUUUUAAAACAUAACUGUAUUUCCAUAGAGUCAUAAUUGUAUUUCAUUUUCUCAAAGAAUAAAAACCUACACUGUGAGCUGAUUCA